rnacentral:rRNA from 1 species
AUUGAACGCUGGCGGCAGGCCUAACACAUGCAAGUCGUACGAGUGGCGGACGGGUGAGUAAUGUCUGGGAAACUGCCCGAUGGAGGGGGAUAACUACUGGAAACGGUAGCUAAUACCGCAUACCAUCGGAUGUGCCCAAAUGGGAUUAGUUAGUAGGUGGGGUAAAGGCUCACCUAGCCGACGAUCCCUAGCUGGUCUGAGAGGAUGACCAGCCCAACUGGACCCUAGACACGGUCCGAACUCCUACGGGAGGCAGCAGUGGGGAAUUUUGCACUAGGGGAGCAAGCCUGAUGCAGCCAUGCCGCGUGUAUGAAAAAGGCCUUCGGGUUGUAAAGUACUUUCGGCGGGGAGGCGUUACCCGCAGAAGAAGCACCGGCUAACUCCGUGCCAGCCGCCGCGGUAAUAC